ensembl:ncRNA D1005.8 ncRNA
UAGGCUUAGGCUUAGGCUUAAGCUUAGGUUAGACUUAGGCUUAGGCUUCGGCUUCGGCAUAGUCCUAGGCUUAGGCUUAGGCUAAGGCUUAGGCUCA